AUUGAACGCUGGCGGCAUGCCUUACACAUGUAAGUCGAACGGCAGCACGGGAGCAAUCCUGGUGGCGAGUGGCGAACGGGUGAGUAAUAUAUCGGAACGUGCCCAGUCGUGGGGAUAACGUAGCGAAAGCUACGCUAAUACCGCAUACGAUCUAUGGAUUAAAGCGGGGGAUCGCAAGACCUCGCGCGAUUGGAGCGGCCGAUAUCAGAUUAGGUAGUUGGUGAGGUAAAGGCUCACCAAGCCGACGAUCUGUAGCUGGUCUGAGAGGACGACCAGCCACACUGGGACUGAGACACGGCCCAGACUCCUACGGGAGGCAGCAGUGGGGAAUUUUGGACAAAUGGGCGCAAGCCUGAUCCAGCAAUGCCGCGUGCAGGAUGAAGGCC
rnacentral:rRNA from 1 species